rnacentral:rRNA from 1 species
UACAGAGGGCCCAAGCGUUGUUCGGAUUCAUUGGGCGUAAAGGGUGCGUAGGCGGCGCGGUAAGUCGGGUGUGAAAUCUCGGAGCUUAACUCCGAAACUGCAUUCGAUACUGCCGUGCUUGAGGACUGGAGAGGAGACUGGAAUUUACGGUGUAGCGGUGGAAUGCGCAGAUAUCAGGAGGAACACCUAUAGCGAAGGCAGCUUGCUGGGACGACACUGACGCUAAGGCGCGAAAGCGUGGGGAGCGAACAGG